rnacentral:rRNA from 1 species
CUACGGGAGGCAGCAGUGGGGAAUAUUGGACAAUGGGCGAAAGCCUGAUCCAGCCAUGCCGCGUGUGUGAAGAAGGCCUUCGGGUUGUAAAGCACUUUCAGUGGGGAAGAAAGCCUUGGGGCUAAUACCCUCGAGGAAGGACAUCACCCACAGAAGAAGCACCGGCUAACUCCGUGCCAGCAGCCGCGGUAAUACGGAGGGUGCGAGCGUUAAUCGGAAUUACUGGGCGUAAAGCGCGCGUAGGCGGUCUGAUAAGCCGGUUGUGAAAGCCCCGGGCUCAACCUGGGAACGGCAUCCGGAACUGUCAGGCUAGAGUGCAGGAGAGGAAGGGAGAAUUCCCGGUGUAGCGGUGAAAUGCGUAGAGAUCGGGAGGAAUACCAGUGGCGAAGGCGGCCUUCUGGACUGACACUGACGCUGAGGUGCGAAAGCGUGGGUAGCAAACAGGAUUAGAUACCCUAGUAGUC